UCUGCUCCCUUCCAGCCCUGACAGCCCAGGCCUAUAAGCUGACACCCAGAGAAGGUAAAGAACUUGCUGUCCCUGCACAGUGAGGCAAUGGUGUCACCAUCCUCUCACUCGCCUCUGACUUUUCGCACAGGAGAGAGCUGGUCGAAUAGUACAAUUCCCCGAUGUGAAUGGGGAGAAGCUGGGGAAAGGAAGAAUGAUCUUCAGGCAGUAAGGGCCCCUACUCCAGUAUGAUUGGUGUCCUUAUAAAAAGGAGAAAUUGGACACAGACACCCUACCAAGAAGAACACUAUGUGAAGAUGAAGGCAGAGAUCAGGGUGAUGCCUCUACUUGCUGAGAAACUCCUACAGUUGCCAGCCCACCACUAGAAGCAAAGGAAGAAGCACAGCCCUCAGAAGGAACCAACCCUGCUAAUGCCUUGGUCUUGGACUUGCAGCCUCCAGAACAGCGAGCCAAUACAUUCCUGUGGUUUAAGCCACUGACUGUGGCACUUUAUUACAGCAGCACUAGGAAACUCAUACAGGAGGUGACAGUGCUCAGAUGAAACAGGACCUUCCACUUCCAUGGCAAAGCCCUCAUCUUUCGUGCCCAUGCGCCAUUUGAUCUGCACACAAAUCACUGAGCAGGUUCCUCAGCUAUUAUUAUCCCCACCUUUCAGAUGGAAAGAACUGAAGCUCAAGAGGGCCAAAGAAAUUUGGCUAUGGCUUUCUUUAUUUUCUUUUUCAUGGGCAGAAGUAGAUUUCAGUUUUGGUCCCUUUCCACUACCAUAUCAGGUUGCCUUAAGGCAACUUUGAAAAGUCUAAAAUAUUAAACAGUUUGUGAAGUUAUUAUCAUUAUUCAUAAAGGACAGCGCGAGGUUAGUCUUACCCUAGAGAGCCCCAUUGUUGGCCCAAAGCAUCUUGCCAGGAGCCCUAUAGGACCAUGUUUUCAAGGCCCCCAAAGAGCACAGGGCUAUUGGUCCAUCCCAGCUCCUGGAAUGGCUCAUUGUACCCACCCUGCCUCCAGCUGAGGAGCCAGGGAGAAGCACUGACCCCUGAUCUUGCUAUCCCUUCCAUUACACUCUUGCCAGAGGAGCUUUUUUCAGGGGUGGCCGCUUCCCUCUCCUCAAGAGAAUUCUGGGGACCAACCAGCUCAGGCCUGCUGUUGGCCUCAGGGUCACAUCUCACCCAGACACCCCCACCAUUCCCUCAGGUCUAGGGAUGCUGCUCCCCUACCAUGGGAUCUUCUUUUUAUUUUUAUUUAUUUAUAUUUUCCUUAUGCCUAGUGUAAAGGGAUUUCUUUUCUUUUUUGUUUUUGUUUUUUUUUUGAGAUGGAGUCUUGCUCUGUCACCCAGGCUGGAGUGCAGUGCAGUGGCGCUAUCUCGGCUCACUGCAACCUCCACCUCCUGGGUUCAAGUGAUUCUCCUGCCUCAGCCUCCCAGGAGCUGGGAUUACAGGUGUGCCACCACAUUUGGCUAAUUUUUUUACUUUUAGUAGAGAUGGGGUUUCACCAUGUUGGCCAGGCUAGUCUCGAUCUCCUGACCUCAGGUGAUCCACCCGCCUCAGCCUCCCAGAAUGCUGGGAUUACAGGCAUGAGCCACCGCUCCCAGCCAGGAUCUUCUUUUUAAAGCUAUCACCACCCACUCUCAUUCCCCAGGACUCUCCUCACCCCUCCGGCUGCAAAGGCAGCUGGUGUCCCUACUGGCUCCUUCCUUUCUGCCCCUAAAGACAGGCACACAGGUGAUUUUCCUUUUAAGUGUUUUUCUGUGGAUUACUGCGGGGAAAUUGACAGGGGCUACAGGGGCUGAUAAAAGGAAUAAUCUUUGAUAUUCUUUCAGUUGGGUCGCUGAUUUUCUUGCUGGGCUGACAAGAGCAAUCUUCCCUACUUGGAAUCUUGGUUUUAUUCCUUAGCAUGGGCCUUAUCAAACCUACUUUUUAAUGAAGGGAGAAUGAAGAAGCCAUUGAAGCAGACCUCUAGCUGCCAGUCAGGUCUGCUCUGAAGGCUGCCUAUCUGCGGGGACAUGUGACUUCUGGGGCUUUCCAGAUUAAGUAAUGCUCACCCCACAUGUCUGAAAUUCUCCAAACACUAUUCCGGCCCUGCUGUGAUUCUUAGAGCAGAGGUUCUUUGCCUUUUUAGUGUAAUGGAUCCCUCAGCAACUUGGUGAGCCCUUCUCAGAAUAAAGUUUCUAAUGCAGAAAGUAAAACACAUGGGAUAAUAAGGGAAGUCAUGUCCUUUGAAAUCCUUAUCAAAAAUAUUUUUCAAAUUUUGUGAUAUAAUAAGUUUGGUUGCUAUUAUAUAGCAUAAUAUAACUUCAUAUCUAAUAGCUAUUGUUAUUUUGAAGUAGUGGUGAAUAUAUAUGCUAUUUUGAGAUGUCUAAAACAACUGUAAUGUGUUACAAAAAUAUCCAUGAUUUCUAUCGGUGACAAAGUCAAAAGUAUCGUGAAUACGUCUGUGAUUUGCAAGCUACAUCCAAAAUGGAAGGAAAUCCUAAUGUUUGGUUAGUGAUUGAUAAAAAUAAAGAUGUGGGCGGGCGCGGUGGCUCACGCCUGUAAUCCCAGCACUUUGGGAAGCCAAGGCGGGCAGAUCAUGAAGUCAGGAGAUCAAGAUCAUCCUGGCCAGCAUGGUGAAACGCCGUCUCUACUAAAAAUAAAAAAAUUAGCUGGGCAUGGUGGCGUGUGUCUGUAGUCCCAGCUACUUGGGAGGCUGAGACAGGAGAAUCACUUGAACCCAGGAGGCG
rnacentral:lncRNA from 1 species